rnacentral:rRNA from 1 species
UACGUAGGGUGCGAGCGUUGUCCGGAAUUAUUGGGCGUAAAGGGCUCGUAGGCGGUCUGUCACGUCGGGAGUGAAAACUCAGGGCUUAACCCUGAGCCUGCUUCCGAUACGGGCAGACUAGAGGUAUGCAGGGGAGAACGGAAUUCCUGGUGUAGCGGUGAAAUGCGCAGAUAUCAGGAGGAACACCGAUGGCGAAGGCAGGUCUCUGGGCCGAUACUGACGCUGAGGAGCGAAAGCGUGGGGAGCGAACAGGAUUAGAUACCC